ACACAUGCGAGUCGAACGAUGAACCAGGAGCUUGCUCUUGGGAAUUAGUGGCGAACGGGUGAGUAACACGUGAGUAACCUGCCCUUGACUCUGGGAUAACCUCCGGAAACGGAAGCUAAUACCGGAUACGACGUACGGAGGCAUCUCCUGUACGUGGAAAGAACUUCGGUCAAGGAUGGACUCGCGGCCUAUCAGGUAGUUGGUGAGGUAACGGCUCACCAAGCCUACGACGGGUAGCCGGCCUGAGAGGGUGACCGGCCACACUGGGACUGAGACACGGCCCAGACUCCUACGGGAGGCAGCAGUGGGGAAUAUUGCACAAUGGGCGCAAGCCUGAUGCAGCAACGCCGCGUGAGGGACGACGGCCUUCGGGUUGUAAACCUCUUUUAGUAGGGAAGAAGCGAAAGUGACGGUACCUGCAGAAAAAGCACCGGCUAACUACGUGCCAGACCGCGGGGGGAAUAA
rnacentral:rRNA from 1 species